rnacentral:lncRNA from 1 species
GGGUCACAACUACAAACUAUCCCAAGAAUGAGGUCGAACCACGCCGCCAUGUUUCUGGCUAGAAUUUUGUCAAAUUCUUCACCUAGAUUCUCCACUUUUGCCAUCGCUUCUCCACAUUAUCAAUCAUUUCUUGUGAAACCCAGAUUCAAUUUUGAUAAUGUCAGCUGCCAAAUGAGACACUUCUCUGCCUAUCCCAGAUUCGAUUUUGGAUCUAUACGUGAGCCCAACGAUGCCGUCGCUCUAUUUCGGGAAAUGGUGAGGAUGCAGCCGCUCCCUUAUGCUUCUGUUUUCACGAAAUUGCUGAGUACUGUGGUGAAGAUGAAACAAUACUCUCUUGCCCUUCAUCUGAUCGACGAAAUGCUUCAAAGGGAUGUUCCUGUAGAUCACUACAUAUUGUGUAUUGCGAUUGAUUGCUACUGCCGACUGAAAAGACCAGAUUUUGGGUUUGCGAUCUUAGGCAUUUUUUNCAAGCGUGGGUACGAGCCUACUGUGGUAACCUUUAACACUCUCAUCAAAGG